rnacentral:rRNA from 1 species
GAGUUUGAUCCUGGCUCAGGACGAACGCUGGCGGCGUGCCUAACACAUGCAAGUCGAACGGAACUGUUUUGAAAGAUUUCUUCGGAAUGAAUUUGAUUUAGUUUAGUGGCGGACGGGUGAGUAACGCGUGAGUAACCUGCCUUCAAGAGGGGGAUAACAUUCUGAAAAGAAUGCUAAUACCGCAUGACAUAUCGGAACCGCAUGGUUUUGAUAUCAAAGAUUUUAUCGCUUGAAGAUGGACUCGCGUCCGAUUAGUUAGUUGGUGAGGUAACGGCUCACCAAGACCGCGAUCGGUAGCCGGACUGAGAGGUUGAACGGCCACAUUGGGACUGAGACACGGCCCAGACUCCUACGGGAGGCAGCAGUGGGGGAUAUUGCGCAAUGGGGGCAACCCUGACGCAGCAACGCCGCGUGAAGGAUGAAGGUUUUCGGAUUGUAAACUUCUUUUAUUAAGGACGAAACUUGACGGUACUUAAUGAAUAAGCUCCGGCUAACUACGUGCCAGCCGCCGCGGUAAUAC